AAAUUGAAGAGUUUGAUCAUGGCUCAGAUUGAACGCUGGCGGCAGGCCUAACACAUGCAAGUCGAACGGUAACAGGAAGCAGCUUGCUGCUUUGCUGACGAGUGGCGGACGGGUGAGUAAUGUCUGGGAAACUGCCUGAUGGAGGGGGAUAACUACUGGAAACGGUGGCUAAUACCGCAUAACGUCGCAAGACCAAAGAGGGGGACCUUCGGGCCUCUUGCCAUCAGAUGUGCCCAGAUGGGAUUAGCUUGUUGGUGAGGUAACGGCUCACCAAGGCGACGAUCCCUAGCUGGUCUGAGAGGAUGACCAGCCACACUGGAACUGAGACACGGUCCAGACUCCUACGGGAGGCAGCAGUGGGGAAUAUUGCACAAUGGGCGCAAGCCUGAUGCAGCCAUGCCGCGUGUAUGAAGAAGGCCUUCGGGUUGUAAAGUACUUUCAGCGGGGAGGAAGGUGUUGCGGUUAAUAACCGCAGCAAUUGACGUUACCCGCAGAAGAAGCACCGGCUAACUCCGUGCCAGCAGCCGCGGUAAUACGGAGGGUGCAAGCGUUAAUCGGAAUUACUGGGCGUAAAGCGCACGCAGGCGGUCUGUCAAGUCGGAUGUGAAAUCCCCGGGCUCAACCUGGGAACUGCAUUCGAAACUGGCAGGCUUGAGUCUUGUAGAGGGGGGUAGAAUUCCAGGUGUAGCGGUGAAAUGCGUAGAGAUCUGGAGGAAUACCGGUGGCGAAGGCGGCCCCCUGGACAAAGACUGACGCUCAGGUGCGAAAGCGUGGGGAGCAAACAGGAUUAGAUACCCUGGUAGUCCACGCCGUAAACGAUGUCUACUUGGAGGUUGUGCCCUUGAGGCGUGGCUUCCGGAGCUAACGCGUUAAGUAGACCGCCUGGGGAGUACGGCCGCAAGGUUAAAACUCAAAUGAAUUGACGGGGGCCCGCACAAGCGGUGGAGCAUGUGGUUUAAUUCGAUGCAACGCGAAGAACCUUACCUGGUCUUGACAUCCACAGAACUUUCCAGAGAUGGAUUGGUGCCUUCGGGAACUGUGAGACAGGUGCUGCAUGGCUGUCGUCAGCUCGU
rnacentral:rRNA from 1 species